UAUCCCCUGUUAUGUUGCGUACGCGCAGUACACUACGUGCAAACGUGGGGCUCUGACAGGCACCCCUACUGCACCGAGAGGGGCUGCGUGCGGAUACUAUCUUUUGCGUGAAGGCACGUGCAUAUGCACGCAUGGAUGUGCACUUGGAUGCCUCAUUGCCCGAGGCACAAUCCCCACAAGCAAUGUUGCCCCGUGCAACAAGCUUGCGAGUCGUGCGGGCUUGCCAAGCGUGCACAUCCUUGUAGGCUUGCACCAUCAUGUGUCGUGG
rnacentral:lncRNA from 1 species